CAGAUUGCAGGCUGCAACCCGCCUGCAUGAAGUCGGAAUUGCUAGUAAUCGCGGAUCAGCAUGCCGCGGUGAAUACGUUCCCGGGGCCUUGUACACACCGCCCGUCACACCAUGGGAGCCGGUAAUACCCGAAGUCAGUAGUCCAACCUCGUGAGGACGCUGCCGAAGGUAGGAUUGGCGACUGGGGUGAAGUCGUAACAAGGUACC
rnacentral:rRNA from 1 species